AGCACGUCUCCCUCGUGAGUCCAACGGAGGGCUGACUGCAGCAAAGCAGAGCUCCGAACACGAAAAAGAGAACUUUGAGGACGGUUUCCAUCGCGUUCUUUCUGCCUAACGUCAGCACCGAUUUGCAAACACAAAGCUAACAGAAGAAAAGAACGACCAGGGGUGCAUACACUGUUCUAUGGCCACUCCAAGAGGUAUUAGCGUCCGUAAUAUAAACACACGAUGGAUAAGGCGAAGACUUAUUGUCAAAAUGGAUUCAAGCGGUCCUAGUUAAACAUUAACUUGACGAGUACACGGUGGUGAAAUAUUGACAGGUUGCUUAAUUCAAUAAACCAAGUACAGUGUCAGUGUUAUGCUAGAAUUUUAUUUUAAAAAGUGCUUCGGUUUAGAACAGAGAAAAAAAACAGAAAUUAAAGUACAUGCAGCAUGUGGAUUUGAUAAAACAGCUCACUUUGAGUAAUUUGAAUAUAAUUUACAUUGUAAUGAUUUCACACGGCAUUACCAACUCAAUGUGAGCAAACAAUUUUAUAAUCUCUUUUUUCAUUAGAUACACGCUUUUUUAUAAGAACGUCAAAAAAACUCUACAAUUAAAUUCUGUUUACUUCUGAACCCCAAUGGUUUUCAGUUUCAACAUUGUGGUUGAGUCACCCUCUGUACCCACCAGGGACAUUUCUCGUCACUUAGCGCUUCGGUUGUUGGGCGCGAGCGCGAUUAUCCCCGGGAACUAAACAUUUUUAGGCGGGAAAAUCGAAUGGCGGGAAAAAAAUUUACGUGCGCGCGACAUGCCUAGCUUCAAAAACAAACACGGAAACUGGCGAAAAAAACGUAAUGAAACAGCAAAUACUGUAAAACAAAAAAUAGGCGAGCAUGAUUUUUCAACUAGGGCACCUACUUGGCGACCUCAAGUGCGGAUUUGAGCAAGAAAAUAGUUGUUUCAAUGCAUAGUUCACUGUUAAAAAGCGAGAGAAUAGUCGAUAUUUUGAUUACAAAUUUUUUUCACAAUAUUCGCAUUUGUAACCAACCAGGGGUUAUCGCAAUACACAAUUGCGCAUGCGUAGAUAAUUCUACUUCCGGUUUGCGUUUCUAACUCUAUAAUCUUUGAGAAGAGUGGACUGAUCGCAAUUUUUUAGGCAAAGAAUAUUCACCUAGUUGCCGUUUACGAAAUUACGUAUCGAUUUUCCGAUAUUUAAAAAAAAUCAUUUAGAUGAGAGUGGAAAAAUAAAAAUAAAAAUUGUGCAAAAAAUUUAUUAUUUGGAAGAAUCGAAAAAGCAUACGCAACUUUGUAAUGUUAUAGAGCUACAUUUAUCAUUGCAGAUACUUCAACAGUUAAGAUUAUAGAAUUUUUCUGUUGUAACGCCAAUGUGAUGGCGUCAUCGCCUGAUGACGUCAUCAAAAUUUAGACAUUGAUAAACAAUUAUGCCAUGCCUAAAUUCAUUUUAUUUCACAAAUAUUUGGCGGAUUUAUAGCGUUCCAAAGUUUCCUUAGCAACGGCACUAAGAUAAAUGCCCAACACCCUUAAAGCUAGCUCUGCCGAUCCCGAGAGGAAACCGGGCGCGUGUCGAAUUUCGCGCAGACUUGAGUCCCGUUUGUCCAGGUACUUGUUGUGUGGGAUAUCAUACAGUCAUGGAGUUUCUGUAUAGGUUGAUUUCCAUAUGGUCGCAGACGAUCGGUACGAUUAUAUGGAAACCCUGCGCAGAUCUUGUUCGAUCUACUGCGAUCUUCUAAGGCCGAUUUAGACAGCACGAUUUUGUCGUAUCCCUGAAUUACACUCUACGACUUUCGUACGUAGUCGCGCUGAUUUAAAGGCUCUACGACUCGAGUUGUAGAAGUCGAGUAUAACUAAAUCGUGCUUUCUAAAUCAACCUUAUGCAAACCAUGCUAUACUAAAACUCAUUAAAAAUCAGCACGUGAAAAUAUGGCUGUUGACGCCAAGAACAAGAGCUAAAAAGUAGAAGAAAUGACAAAGACGAUGUUGUAUUGUUGUAUAUGAUUUUAAGAUCUUUAAGAAAGGAAGGAAUUUGUCAAGAAGAACUCGAUCACCUCUUUAAGUCUAUUGUCCUUCCUAAUUUCACUUAUGGCUUGUCCGUUUUUGGUGCCUCAGACUCGGAUCUCACAAACAUACAGAACUUCCUAGAGAGAUGCUUUAAAAGGAAAUACAUUUCAAACAUUGUAAACAUCCGUAAACUUCUAGAGGAGGCAGAUAAGAAGAUUUAUCGUACUCGCUUAGAUCAACCUGAAUAUCCUCUGAGCAAAAUCCUGCCUAAGAAAAAAGACCAAAAAUACAACCUCAGAAAAAGAAAUGUGAUUUAUCCUAGGGUUCACUCAGAGCGAUUCAAAAAUACUUUUGUCAAUAGGCUUGUCUUUAAAUAUAGUGACAUAUAAUUGAUGUAGCGCAUUUACUUAUAAUCGGUUUCUCCUACAUUUUGUAAACUUAGACAUGUUGAUUUAUCUAAGGCAAUAAAGAUUAUUAUUAUUA